rnacentral:rRNA from 1 species
UACGAAGGGUGCAAACGUUGCUUGGAAUUAUUGGGCGUAAAGCGCACGUAGGCGGCUUUGCAAGUCGGAUGUGAAAUCCCUCGGCUCAACCAAGGAAGUGCAUCCGAAACUGCAGAGCUUGAGUACCAAAGAGGAUCGCGGAAUUCCCGGUGUAGAGGUGAAAUUCGUAGAUAUCGGGAGGAACACCAGUGGCGAAGGCGGCGAUCUGGGUGGAUACUGACGCUGAGGCGCGAAAGCGUGGGGAGCAAACAGG